CGUAGGCCUGUGUCUGUGUGAAGAAUGGUAUGCAAAAUACAAUCGUGUCACAAUGAUCGCAAUAGUAUGUUUGAUGGCAAUGUUUAUUCCCAGUUUGCGUUGCUAAAUGCGCAAUCGUGAUUCUAAAUAGCUGCAUUAUGUUUGUCAAAAUAGUUGCAGUGUAAGCCAAUGCUUUAGAAUAUAUUAUUUAUAGUCUCUAAAGAUUACUUAAUUAGUAGUUAUGUUUUACCAAGUUUAAUGGCUGGCAUUUGGAUGUUAAGAAGACUAAGACGCAGCAAAACGAUCUGUGUGAAACAGAUGUGCAAAAAAAGGUCAACAUUAGUAACUGACUAGCGUUGAGGAUUUUGUAGCAACAAUAGCUCUGUAAAACAGAUGUCCAAAAAAGGUGAGCAAGACUGCCUCUGCAAAGUGAUACCUCCCUCUGUUGUCUACCUUUGGGAUGAAAGUCUCAAUCACUUGGUCAGGUGUCACCCAAGCUUUAUCUUCCAUCACAGCUGUUGACUGAUGCUCAGAGGACUGGUGUUCGGGACUUUCAGCAGAUGUGGAGAGCAGAAAUGUAUGGACACCUGACUGUUCUGCCUCGGAGUAGAUUUUGUGACGUACUUCUCCCCAGGAGACUGGCUCCAUGUGAUGUACUGACUGAGUGCCCGGAACAGCUGAGGUAAUGGCCCAUCUCUCAUUUAGCCUAUGAUGCUGUAUAAAAUCUGUGAUUUCGUUGGCUGUAAUGAGUUUGAUGUUGAUGUUUGGGCAACUCUUCCUUGCAGAAGCUACAAAUGAAGCAGCAUCUGUCACAAGGACUGCCUGUCUGCAGAGGACAUCAGU